rnacentral:rRNA from 1 species
UUACUAUAUUAUUUCCACAAAAUCAAAAACAAAGAGUUAAGUAUUAAAACCCAAGUCGUCGCUUGUCGGCGCAACAAAACAAAGAUUAAGUAAAAUUUCAUCAGUAUUGUCGAAAGGCAUUACACACCAAAUAACAUCCUAGACAGGGGAUCACUAGGCUCAUGGGUCGAUGAAGACCGCAGCUAACUGCGUGUUGUCAUGUGAACUGCAGGACACAUGAACAUCGACAAGUUGAACGCAUAUCGCACUUCUUGCUUUUUAUUCUAUUUAGUUAGAAUGGCUUGAGGUUCAUAUGGUUGAGUGCUAUAAUUUAUCAAUAGAACUGUUCUUUCGCAAGAAAGACGUACGUGUCAACUAUGAGACUAUGGCAACAUAGACUUAUAUUUGAUUAAAUCACGAGAUAUGAAAAAUCAAAUACAGUUAUCCACACUUGCUUGUUGGUAGCCUAUUUAACAUUUUAUAUGAUACUAUCAUUUCUUUGUAAAUUUUAUGUAGAUUAUAAAAGAAACAUGUUGAAUAUGGUGAAUCAAGUAUAUUGAAUUUGACUGUCUUUGCAUACUAUAAAUUAUACAUAGCCUCAACUCAUGUGAGACUACCCCC